UACGAAGGGGGCUAGCGUUGCUCGGAAUUACUGGGCGUAAAGGGAGCGUAGGCGGAUAGUUUAGUCAGAGGUGAAAGCCCAGGGCUCAACCUUGGAAUUGCCUUUGAUACUGCAAAUCUCGAGUCCGGAAGAGGUGAGUGGAAUUCCUAGUGUAGAGGUGAAAUUCGUAGAUAUUAGGAAGAACACCAGUGGCGAAGGCGGCUCACUGGUCCGGUACUGACGCUGAGGUGCGAAAGCGUGGGGAGCAAACAGG
rnacentral:rRNA from 1 species